UAUCCUUCAAAAAUAAUAGAGAAUUUAAGACAUCCCCAAAUAAACUAAACCCAGGAGAAUCUGCUUCUACCAGAUGUGCCCCACAAGAAACAUUCCAGAGACAUCAUCAGGCUGAAAUUAAAGGACACUAGACAGUCAGUCAAAUACACAUGUAAAGAUAGCUACAUUAGAUAAUUAUAAGUUUUUUUAAAGAGUUUAUUUAUUUAUUUGACAGAGAGAAAGAGGGAGAGAGAGCACAAGCAGGGGGAGCAGCAGAGGGAGAGGGAGAAGCAGGCUCCCCGCUGAGCAAGGAGCCUGAUGGGCUCGAACCCAGGACCCUGGGAUCAUGGCCUGAGCUGAAGGCAGACACUUUAACUGACUGAGCCACCCAGGCACCCCUAUAAGACAGUAUUAAUGUGUUUUUUAAAUUUUUUAAAAAAGAUUUUAUUUAUUUAUUUGACAGAGAGAGAGAGCAAGCACAAGCAGGUGGAGCAGCAGAGGGAGAGGGAGAAGCAGACUACCCACUGAGCAGGGAGCCCAACAUGGGGCUUGAUCCCAGGACCCUGGGAUCAUGACCUGAGCUGAAGGCAGAUGCUUAACUGACUAAGCCACCCAGGUGCCCCAAGACGGGAUGAAAGAAGAGGAUCUUCAAAGAAUACCACUGCAUGGUGAGCAACGUUUCUAGAGCACAUGACGGAAGGGCCUGCAGAAAGGGAUUCUCAGCUUCAAGAGCCCCCAGGAGACUACAUGACUACGUAUGGUGACACAUUUCUUUUAAGAAGAGGGCGGAUCCGAUGUGGAGUGGAAGACCCUGGCUGGAAGGAGAACCCUGGACUCGGAGUCAGUGUGGCAGGCAGAAUAACGCCCCUCUUCCAGGAUGUCCACGUCCUGAUCCUUGGAACCAGUGACUGUGUUUCCUUGCAUGACAAAAGGACUUUGCAGAUGGACUAAUGGAUCUUGAUGUGGAGAGAUUGCCCUGGGUUCUCCUGGUGGGCCCGAAGGCACGGCGAGGAUCCUUCUUUAUAAAGAGGGAGGUAUGAAUGUCCGAGUUAGAGAGAGAGAGAGGGAUUUGAAGGAGCUAUCCUGCUGGUUUCAGGAAUGGGGGAAGGGACCAUGAGCCAAGGAAUGCAGGUGGAUUUCUAGAAGCUGGAAAAAGGCAAGAAAACAGAUUUGCCCCCAGAGCCCGCAGAAGGAAGCUCUGCCAAUCCAUUUUAGACUUCUGACUUGCAGAACUAUAAAAUAUUAAAUGUAUGUUCUUUCAAGCCACUGAAUUUGUAGUAGCCACAAAGAAACUCCUACACCUGGAGAGGGUGGACUUCUGGGUCUGUAUCCUCCCUCUGGUGGCAAGGUCAAGUAACAUACUAACAGCUCGGCUGCUUAGCAUCUGUCCAUCCCCGAGGAAAGAUUUUUCAUUUACAGCCUAGGAAACUGCUGCAGAGGAUUGGACCCUGGCAGGAGAGGAGAGUGAACGGUACAGGCAGUGCUCAAAGAAGAAAUCUUCCUGUUCGCUUAAAGCCAUGUCUAUAAACAUCCUUUCUCUGUGGAAGCAGGGGACCUGCAGUGGGCGAUUUGCAUCUGGAGGCUGAGCUAGCAGAGGCAGCAUCCUCUUCAGAUGAAACCUUGUUUGGAUUUGUAUAGUACCAAGUGGCUCAGAGCCCAAGAGCAAUAGAAACACAAUUGCAAAGUUGGUAUGGCUGCAGCAGGAAAUUCACUUGAAGGCAUGGAUUUCAGAAACAGACAAAGUCUGUAAUAAUUACGUGUUGAUCGAUAUAUCGCUGGCAGGUAACACUGGAAGGUUGGGGUGUGUCUGUGUUCAUCUGAGCUGGUUUGAGAUACCCAGGGCAGAGGCCCAAGGAAAACUCUAGCUAAGGUGUUGUGGAGGCUCACAUGACAUAAUGCAUUCAAUUAUUAUUAUUAUUAUUUUUUUAAAGAUUUUAUCUAUCCAUUUGAGAGAGAGAAUGAG